AGGUCUCUGAUACAAAAAUGAACACCUUGUUUUAUCUAAUUAUACAGUGUUAGAUCAAAAAGGAAGGAAUUAUUAAACAUAAAUGUUUGGGACGUGGUUUCAUAUGUUUACUGUGGCUGAUGUCACUUAAUCACUUGCAUAGCUGGACAGCUUUAUCGAGUCCAAACCAAGUUGGAGCUAAACAUCCACAAUCCAUAUAGCCCACACAUGUCAACCUCUCUAGCUCCCACUCUUUAGUCCCCAAUCCUCAAUAUCCACCCACUAAUAACUAACCUGUUAAUUACCGCUUGAAAUGCAGCCUCCAUCCACCUCAUAACCUCCUGUUUCCUCCACUGUCUCCAACUCUCUUCCAAUUAUUUUCCUGUACCUAACCCUUCGCUCCUCACCUCUACACUUCCCUACUUCUUCCUGGUCUUUGUUUAAUCUUACUAUGCCCUCCACUCUGUUCACUUUGCUCCAAAUAUCCUCAGUUUUAGCCCCCCAGAGGUGACAGGAGGUGUUUGGAAGGGGGGCACGGGGAAGGCAGUCUGUUUGUAGAGGGAAAGGGCUGGUUCUAUGCCAAUCCAUCUCUGCACACACAGCAGAAAAAGACAGUCUGAGAGUUAGGGGGAGGGGGAGAGAGAGGACUUUACACAAGGAGGGAGGUGUGAAAACAUCUGAAUCAGCUGAGAGGUGUCUGUAAUAUAACCUCCAGAGAGGGAGAAGGAGAUAGCAAAAGACAGAGGGAACAAAAUAUAGAGAAAAAGAGGAAAAGGAAAUAAUAUAAGUAUGGAGUGCGUGAGGAAGAAAUUGUAUGAGGAAGAAACAGAGCACAAGAAGGGACAUAACAGUACCAUUCUCCAGCCUUUGACGAGUGACUACUCCUCACACCUCAAAGCCAA